rnacentral:misc_RNA from 1 species
AACGCACCUUGCACCCUUUGGUAUUCCGAAGGGUAUGCCUGUUUGAGUGUCAUUAAAUUCUCAACUUCAAAAGAGUUUGCGCUUUUUUGAAGCUUGGACUAUGGAAGCUUGCUGGUAUCACUAUCAGCUCUUCUUAAAUGCAUUAGCGGAACUGUAAAGGACCAGCUUUGGUUUGAUAAUCCUAUCUAUGCCGUCGCUGUGGACUUGUGUGUUCAGCUUCUAACUGUCUUCGGACUGUCUCCUAUGAGGCAUACAACUUUAAGCUUGACCUCAAAUCAGGUAGGACUACCCGCUGAACUUAA